CUUAACACAUGCAAGUCGAACGCUCCUGGAGGUUAGAAGUUAGAGGUUAGAAGUUAGAUUAAGAAGGAAAUCGCCUGCAGGCGAUUUCCAACACAAUCCAACAUCUAAUUUCCAACUUCUAACUUCCGGUGAGAGUGGCGGACGGGUGAGUAACGCGUGGAUAACCUGCCUAUCUGACUGGGACAACACCUGGAAACGGGUGCUAAUACCGGAUACGCUCACAAGUUCACAAGAGCAGGUGAGGAAAAGGGGAAACCCGCAGACAGAUGGGUCCGCGUCCCAUUAGCUAGUUGGAGGUGUAAAGGACCCCCAAGGCGACGAUGGGUAGCCGGCCUGAGAGGGUGAACGGCCACACUGGAACUGAGACACGGUCCAGACUCCUACGGGAGGCAGCAGUGGGGAAUCUUCCGCAAUGGGCGCAAGCCUGACGGAGCAACGCCGCGUGAGUGAAGAAGGCCUUCGGGUUGUAAAACUCUGUCUUCAGGGAAGAAAAAAAUGACGGUACCUGAGGAGGAAGCCCCGGCUAACUACGUG
rnacentral:rRNA from 1 species